AGGAUGAAGAUGGGAUCUGUGCUCCUCAAAGCCCAUAAGAGAUCUGCCAGAAAGCGUGCCACAAUGCACAACGCCGUCGUUUGGGCCCUGCCUCCUGAUCUUACUACCAAAUUUUGUGUCGAUUGAUUUAUUUUUUUGGGGGGUUUGGGUUUGGGUUUCGGUCAUUUGUUCGGUUGGAGUGCACAAAACUCUUUAACGGUUUACCUGGAACACUGGAUAUGGAGUCUACUAUUGUGAUCAAGAGUUCUUUACAGAGGGUGCAAUCUAAAUGUUACUUGCCAGAAUGCAUAAAUUCUCAGCUGGCUCAGUGAUAGAGUUUACAUGGGCUAUCCUCAAUUUCCCACAAUCCCAUUGAUUUGUAUUUUGUGCCUUACUGAUAGCCGACUACAAACCUCUAUUUUGAUUAAGGUAGGAGGAACUACGGACAAUCUUGAAUAAAGUUGUGCAAAGUUUGCUACUUGAGCCUUACCCGUCAGAUUGAUAGUUGCUUAGAAGGCUGCCUUGUGUUAGCUAGAAUGAAGGAGUAUCGUUCAAUGUUCAGUGUUCCAUGGAAAGAUCAGAGUAAGACAAAAAAGUGAAGUUGUAUCUUCCUCUUGCUACUGCUGCUCCUCUUCCUGUUGGAGUAAUUACCCAAGCUAUGCGACGUGUCAAUAUGGCUCCAAGAAUUCUUUCGGAAGGGCUAUUUAAGGAAAGGACGUGUAUUAGAGGUGAUGGAAAGAUAUGACGAUUUAACAUGCAUAUGGAGUUUCCCAGUUGGACUAAAGUGAAGAACAUGUUCAUCGUGCUUCAAUAUUCUUUGUAGCUAGAACAAGUAUUUCCUAUUUACUUUCAAACAUUCAUAUUAGUAUUUCGGGUGCAAUUUCUAGAUAUGUUGCUUAUAUUCUCCAUGUGCAGGUGGGGUUUUGGCUCCUUCAAUUAGGAUCAUCAUUCUCUCAAGUAUAUCUAACUCAAGGUACACAUUUCUAGCCCCCCUUAUCUGCAAGAGACGACCAAGAUAUAUGUGUUCGGAAAAUAUAUUCUAGCUUUGAGCAUCCGGUUCCGCCAAUGUCGUUUUCAUGUUUGAAAAGUUAAUUUGUGAACCAAAGUAGUGUCCAAAAGGUGUUUACUUCAUCAGUCACUUGGAAAAGCAUUUUUGUUCAUGCUUUGGAUUGGAUGAAUUAGAAAAGAAUAUGAUUUCCUGGAAUGCAUUUCAAUAGCAAAGAUGAAUUAGUAGCUAAAAGUAGCAGGCCCUUUUAAAAGAAGUAAAUUGCAUUCAUAUAAUAGUUGUAAUGUUAGGGAUUAGUGGUUGAUCGAGAUGAAGUCACUAUUGGAUAUACUGCAAUAGUGUUACAUGUCAAGUUGAUUUGUCUCUAUGAGUUUGUCCUGGAUUUGCUUGUUAUGCAUGAGCUUUAAUUUCGCAAUCAAUUGUACAAAUAAUCUUGGGUUUGCUAGGGGUUCGGCACUGGGCUCUAUGUUUGGAUACUGAGAAAAAAUGGAGGGGAAAAUAGAAGUGAAAUUUCAAGGUAUCGAUUGUAUUAGAUAUUAAACCUGUCAAGUGGAGAAUUUUUUCCCCUCCAUCCCAUGUUCUAGGCAACCAAACAGAAAGGGGUUGUAAAUUUUCUUGAUACCCGGUCUGAAAAAAAAUGCAAAUUAUGUUAGAAACCGCGAAUCUCACAACCUCUCUCUCUCGCGCACUUUAAUGAACUGUCUCGAAUACUUACUGAAGAGAAUUCAGGUCAAACAACAAAACAAUUCCAAGUACUUGGGUUUUUAGUCCCUUUGGCAGCUUAAUUUCUGUACAAGGGAUGAUAUUUGAGCUAAUUCUUAUGGUGAUCGUCAUUUUACUGGUACAUGUCUUCCAGCUGUAUGGGUGAAAACUACCGAGGAAGCAACCCUACUUGAUGUCAACUUGCUUGUAUGCCUAUUGAAACAAUGAUUGAUAUUCAGGAUACCAUUGUGAUGACAAACUUCAUCAUAUGAUGUUUUCAAGUUCUACCUUAGCUAUGGGAUACAGAAACCAUACAAACAUCAAGUUCUGAGUGUAAAAUAUUUACUGUAGUUUGUUCAGAAUUUGUUAGUGUUGAAGUGUUUGUGCUUCAUUUUCUUAUUUCUGUUGAUUUACAUCUUUUUCUACGCCCAUUCACAUUUAUAUCUUACUGUGGAUAGGCCUUUUGCAAGCAUAAAUAUAACCUACUUAUAUACAGAAAACUAUACAUCAAACUAAAAUAUCCUAUAUCCCAACGAAAUUAAAAAUCGAUCAAUUCAACGGGCAUGGCACACGUGCCUUGCACGUUGCAAAGUACCUAGUUGUUGAAUA